GCCCGCAUAGCUCAGUUGGCAGAGCAGCUGACUCUUAAUCAGCGGGUCGUAGGUUCGAGCCCUACGGGGGGCACCU
rnacentral:tRNA from 1 species